AUCACUUCUCAGCCUUUUUACUAAGAUCAUACGUAGUAUCUGUUCUUAUCAGUUUAAUAUCUGACAUGUCCUCUAUUCAAGGACAAUAUAGUAAAUGGAUUCUUGCAGUAGGGAGAUGAAAUAGGAGCUUGCUCCAUCCACUCCACAUAUCCAACCUGGUAUUGCAGUACCUCCAGGAACAGAGCACUGCUA
ensembl:snRNA U2 U2 spliceosomal RNA